rnacentral:rRNA from 1 species
AGCGAACGCUGGCGGCAGGCUUAACACAUGCAAGUCGAGCGGGCGUAGCAAUACGUCAGCGGCAGACGGGUGAGUAACGCGUGGGAACAUACCUUUUGGUUCGGAACAACACAGGGAAACUUGUGCUAAUACCGGAUAAGCCCUUACGGGGAAAGAUUUAUCGCCGAAAGAUUGGCCCGCGUCUGAUUAGCUAGUUGGUGAGGUAACGGCUCACCAAGGCGACGAUCAGUAGCUGGUCNGAGAGGAUGAUCAGCCACAUUGGGACUGAGACACGGCCCAAACUCCUACGGGAGGCAGCAGUGGGGAAUAUUGGACAAUGGGCGCAAGCCUGAUCCAGCCAUGCCGCGUGGAGUG